UACGUAGGUGGCAAGCGUUGUCCGGAAUCACUGGGCGUAAAGCGCGCGCAGGCGGCGAUCUACGUCUGGGGUGAAAGCCCGGAGCUCAACUCCGGGACUGCCUUGGAUACGGGAUCGCUUGAGGAUUGGAGAGGCAAGGGGAAUUCCACGUGUAGCGGUGAAAUGCGUAGAGAUGUGGAGGAACACCUGUGGCGAAGGCGGCCUCCUGGAUCAACACUGACGCUGAGGUGCGAAAGCGUGGGGAGCAAACAGG
rnacentral:rRNA from 1 species